rnacentral:rRNA from 1 species
GACGAACGCUGGCGGCGUGCUUAACACAUGCAAGUCGAGCGGAGAUAAUAGCAAUAUUAUCUUAGCGGCGGACGGGUGAGUAACGCGUGGGCAACCUGCCUCGGACUGGGGGAUAACACAGGGAAACUUGUGCUAAUACCGCAUAACAUCAUGAGAUGACAUCAUCAUAUGAUCAAAGGAGUAAUCCGGUUUGAGAUGGGCCCGCGUCCGAUUAGCUAGUUGGUGGUGUAACGGACCACCAAGGCGACGAUCGGUAGCCGAACUGAGAGGUUGAACGGCCAGAUUGGGACUGAGACACGGCCCAGACUCCUACGGGAGGCAGCAGUGGGGAAUAUUGCACAAUGGGGGAAACCCUGAUGCAGCAACGCCGCGUGAAGGAUGAAGGUUUUCGGAUUGUAAACUUCUUUGAUGAGGGACGAAUAAAUGACGGUACCUCAAAAACAAGCCACGGCUAACUACGUGCCAGCAGCCGCCGUAA